UCAUUAUGCAGCUUGAAGGCAAGGAAUUUGUAGCGGGAACUGUGGUGUCAUACAAGGAAACAGACGAUGAUAAGAGCAAUUUGAAGAUCAGAAUUCACUGGGAUGCAAAGAGGGAUUUGUGCAAAAAGAAAUUUUACAACGUUUCAAAACAUUCAAAGGAUACGAAAGAACACAAUGCUCUGUAUCUUUUUGAGUAUGGAGUUUUGGAAAAAGAUGAAUGUACAGAAUGCAGUAAGCCACCGACCACUCAUCUGAACGG